CACGUAGGGCGCAAGCGUUGUCCGGAAUUAUUGGGCGUAAAGAGCUCGUAGGCGGUCUGUGCGUCCGCUGUGAAAACUCGGGGCUUAACCCCGAGCCUGCAGUGGAUACGGGCAGACUAGAGGUAGGUAGGGAGAAUGGAAAUUUCCCGGGUGUAGCGGUGAAAUGCGCAGAUAUCAGGAAGAACACCAACGGCGAAGGCAGCUCGCUGGACGGAACUGACGCUUAAGGCGCGAAGCGUGGAGCAACAAGG
rnacentral:rRNA from 1 species